AUUUAGCGAGCUGAGUGGGGAGGAGAGAGGGACAGAGAGCCUGCUUGCCUUAAAGGAACCAACCGGACACGAGUGUAAGCGGCUCCUCUCCUCUCCCGCUUUGCUCCUUUAAAGAAGCAGACUCUCUGUCCCUCUCUCCUCCCCACUCAGCGGCUCUUCUC
rnacentral:miRNA from 1 species